rnacentral:rRNA from 1 species
UACGAAGGGUGCAAGCGUUAAUCGGAAUUACUGGGCGUAAAGCGCACGUAGGCGGUUUUUUAAGUCAGAUGUGAAAGCCCCGGGCUCAACCUGGGAAUUGCAUUUGAAACUGGGAAACUAGAGUGUGUGAGAGGGGGGUAGAAUUCCAAGUGUAGCGGUGAAAUGCGUAGAGAUUUGGAGGAAUACCAGUGGCGAAGGCGGCCCCCUGGCCCGAUAUUGACGCUGAGGUGCGAAAGCGUGGGGAGCAAACAGG